AGAGCGUACGGUGGAUGCCUUGGCACCAGGAGCCGAUGAAGGACGUAGGAGGCUGCGAUAAGCCUCGGGGAGCUGUCAACCGAGCUGAGAUCCGAGGAUGUCCGAAUGGGGAAACCCAGCACGAGUGAUGUCGUGUUACCCGCACCUGAAUAUAUAGGGUGUGUGGAGGGAACGUGGGGAAGUGAAACAUCUCAGUACCCACAGGAAGAGAAAACAAUAGUGAUUCCGUGAGUAGUGGCGAGCGAAAGCGGAAGAGGCUAAACCAUGGAUGUGUGAUAGCCGGCAGGUGUUGCAUUCGUGGGGUUGUGGGGUUCAUCUUGUCAAUGCUGCCGUGUUGGCCGACAGUAAGAAAUCAUUGUGUUAGUGGAAGUGGUCUGGAACGGCCUGUCGUAGAGGGUGAGAAUCCCGUACACGAAAAUGCGAUGACUGUCGUGAUGGAAACCCAAGUAGCACCGGGCCCGUGAAAUCUGGUGUGAAUCUGUCGGGACCACCCGAUAAGCCUGAAUACUCCCUGGUGACCGAUAGCGGACUAGUACCGUGAGGGAAAGGUGAAAAGUACCCCGGGAGGGGAGUGAAAUAGUACCUGAAACCGUGCGCUUACAAUCCGUCAAAGCCUUUGCACACUUCGGUGUGGGGGGUGAUGGCGUGCCUUUUGAAGAAUGAGCCUGCGAGUUAGUGGCAUGUCGCGAGGUUAACCCGUGUGGGGUAGCCGUAGCGAAAGCGAGUCCGAAUAGGGCGUUCCGUUAGUGGCAUGUUCUAGACCCGAAGCGGAGUGAUCUACCCAUGGCCAGGUUGAAGCGACGGUAAGACGUCGUGGAGGACCGAACCCACUUAGGUUGAAAACUGAGGGGAUGAGCUGUGGGUAGGGGUGAAAGGCCAAUCAAACUCCGUGAUAGCUGGUUCUCCCCGAAAUGCAUUUAGGUGCAGCGUCGCGUGUUUCUCACCGGAGGUAGAGCUACUGGAUGGUCUAGGGGGCCCACAAGCUUACCGAAAUCAGCCAAACUCCGAAUGCCGGUGAGUGAGAGCGCGGCAGUGAGACUGCGGGCGAUAAGGUUCGUAGUCGAGAGGGAAACAGCCCAGAUCGCCAGCUAAGGUCCCUAAGCGUGUACUAAGUGGAAAAGGAUGUGGGGUCGCGAAGACAACCAGGAGGUUGGCUUAGAAGCAGCCACCCUUGAAAGAGUGCGUAAUAGCUCACUGGUCAAGUGAUCCUGCGCCGACAAUGUAGCGGGGCUCAAGUACACCACCGAAGCUGCGGCAUUCACACAAUGCACCCCCUUGAUUCUGCGGAGUCUUGGGCAGUGGUGUGGAUGGGUAGGGGAGCGUCGUGUGGCCAUGGAAGCGGCAGGGUGACCUAGCCGUGGAGGCCACACGAGUGAGAAUGCAGGCAUGAGUAGCGAAAGACGAGUGAGAAACUCGUCCGCCGAAUGACCAAGGGUUCCUGGGCCAGGUUAAUCCGCCCAGGGUGAGUCGGGACCUAAGACGAGGCCGACAGGCGUAGCCGAUGGACAACGGGUUGAUAUUCCCGUACCCGUGUGAACGCGCCCCUGGUGAAUCAGUGAUACUAACCAUCCUGAAGCGUCCUUACGCCCCUUCGGGGGCCCUGGAUGUGGAUGCAUGGGACCUGAUCUGGUAGUAGCCAAGCGAUGGGGUGACGCAGGAAGGUAGCUGAGCCAGUCAGUGGUAAUACUGGUGUAAGCCUGUAGGGCGAACGGUAGGCAAAUCCGCCGUUCAUCAAGCCUGAGAGGUGACGCAUAGCCGAAUGAGGCGAAUUCAGUGAUCCUAUGCUGCCGAGAAAAGCCUCUAGCGAGCUUUCACACGGCCCGUACCCCAAACCGACACAGGUGGUCAGGUAGAGAAUACUAAGGCGAUCGAGAUAACUAUGGUUAAGGAACUCGGCAAAAUGCCCCCGUAACUUCGGGAGAAGGGGGGCCUCGUCCGGUGAUCACUCUUGCAGUGUGAGCUGGGUGGGGCCGCAGAGACCAGUGAGAAGCGACUGUUUACUAAAAACACAGGUCCGUGCGAAGUCGUAAGACGAUGUAUACGGACUGACGCCUGCCCGGUGCUGGAAGGUUAAGAGGACCGGUUAGCCAGCAAUGGCGAAGCUGAGAAUUUAAGCCCCAGUAAACGGCGGUGGUAACUAUAACCAUCCUAAGGUAGCGAAAUUCCUUGUCGGGUAAGUUCCGACCUGCACGAAUGGCGUAACGACUUCUCAGCUGUCUCAACCAUAGACUCGGCGAAAUUGCAUUACGAGUAAAGAUGCUCGUUACGCGCGGCAGGACGAAAAGACCCCGGGACCUUCACUACAGCUUGGUAUUGGUGUUCGGUUCGGUUUGUGUAGGAUAGGUGGGAGACUGUGAAGCGCUCACGCCAGUGAGUGUGGAGUCGUUGUUGAAAUACCACUCUGAUCGUAUUGGACCUCUAACCUCGGACCAUGAUCUGGUUCAGGGACAGUGCCUGGUGGGUAGUUUAACUGGGGCGGUUGCCUCCCAAAAUGUAACGGAGGCGCCCAAAGGUUCCCUCAGCCUGGUUGGCAAUCAGGUGUCGAGUGCAAGUGCACAAGGGAGCUUGACUGUGAGACUGACAGGUCGAGCAGGGACGAAAGUCGGGACUAGUGAUCCGGCACCGGCAAGUGGAAGCGGUGUCGCUCAACGGAUAAAAGGUACCCCGGGGAUAACAGGCUGAUCUUCCCCAAGAGUCCAUAUCGACGGGAUGGUUUGGCACCUCGAUGUCGGCUCGUCGCAUCCUGGGGCUGGAGUAGGUCCCAAGGGUUGGGCUGUUCGCCCAUUAAAGCGGCACGCGAGCUGGGUUUAGAACGUCGUGAGACAGUUCGGUCUCUAUCCGCCGCGCGCGUAAGAAACUUGAGGAAGGCUGUCCCUAGUACGAGAGGACCGGGACGGACGAACCUCUGGUGUGCCAGUUGUUCCACCAGGAGCACCGCUGGUUAGCUACGUUCGGAAGGGAUAACCGCUGAAAGCAUCUAAGCGGGAAGCCUGUUCCAAGAUGAGGUUUCU
rnacentral:rRNA from 1 species